CAGAGAUCCAGCUCACAAAGCCCAAACAUCAACAGAAGAAGCAACACAGCAGCAACAGCAGCACAAAGGACGGUGAGAAGCCCAGAGCAAAACUCGAUGCAAAUAAAGAUAUGUGGAAAACAUCUGGGAGCUGUAACAACACGGGGGAGCAGAGCGUGAGUUUGCAUUCAGCUGAGGGGGCAAACAGAACCUAAACUGGCAGCAAUCGUUAUCUUGUUGGUACCUCCCCUGGAAAAUUCUGAGGCUAUUCCAGCUUCCAAAUGGUUCUGGUUAAUUACCUUUGUUUAGGAAAGUCAGGGUGGUGUUGCAGCAGAACAGAAUACAAGCAAUGUUUCUGAACACAAGCUGGAAAUGUCAGCCAAAGACAACAGCACGGCGCUGGUGAUGCGGCCACAGAGUCUCACGUUUCACAAACCAGCAGUUCAUACCCAACUCCUAUAAAAGGCCCCCCCAAAACCUGCCCAGGGGACAACAAACACAUCCCCCAGG